GUGGGGAAUAUUGGACAAUGGGCGAAAGCCUGAUCCAGCCAUGCCGCGUGUGUGAAGAAGGUCUUCGGAUUGUAAAGCACUUUAAGUUGGGAGGAAGGGCAGUAAGUUAAUACCUUGCUGUUUUGACGUUACCGACAGAAUAAGCACCGGCUAACUUCGUGCCAGCAGCCGCGGUAUUACGAAUGGUGCAAGCGUUAAUCGGAAUUACUGGGCGUAAAGCGCGCGUAGGUGGUUUUGUAAGGUGGAGGUGAAAUCCCCGGGCUCAACCUGGGAACUGCCUCCAAAACUUCAUGACUAGAGUACGGUAGAGGGUAGUGGAAUUUCCUGUGUAGCGGUGAAAUGCGUAGAUAUAGGAAGGAACACCAGUGGCGAAGGCGACUACCUGGACUGAUACUGACACUGAGGUGCGAAAGCGUGGGGAGCAAACAGGAUUAGAUACCCCUGUAGUCC
rnacentral:rRNA from 1 species